AAGCAAUCGCCGUCGUUGAAAAUUUUAUUUUCAGAAAAUUGUUGAAUAAAAAUUCAUAAACUAUGAUUUUAUGAUAAAAUAUUUUUCAUUAUCAAUUUUCAAAUGAAUCUUUUCAUCAUAAUCUUUUUAUUGCAGAUACGUCUAUAGAGCGUUUCUUUCGGAAAAAAUUUUCCAUGAAGGAUUGAAAUGCUUCUGCUGUAAAUGUCUCGAAUAUUUUGAAUAUGAUUGAACGAUGAUUGAACACUACCAAAUAUUUACUCGACUUAUCUGUCGAUGAAAUGGAAAGCAAGCAAGAAAUAUAGCAAGUUUCUUAUCCGUCAUCAUCUCGACGAUUGAUACGAAAUCUUUCACGUAUAAUGUUCAACGAAACUGAUAUUAUUCAUGAUCAGAUAUUUUUUACGGUAUCGUCGUUUGAAAAAGAAGAUAUGCGACGGAAGAAAAUAACAGACGCGGUAUUCCGAUGUUUAUUGCCGGAUAAAGAUUAUCUACCCGUGGUUUCAAACUUCCGGGAGAGGUUCCACAGUAUUUAUCUUGUAGAGAAUUAGCACAUAAAAUAUCGCGAUAUUAAUUCUCAAGUCGUAGACACACACACACAUACACAAUGAUCGGUAUUACUCACGUUGAAUACGUGUCCAUAUUUCCCGAUACAGUGAUCGUUCUCGUUCAUACUAUCGCAUCGCGAGAAAGUGCUUCGAAAAGCAGUGCGAUUUUCAUCAGCGAUUUUUUGGAAUGCAAAUCUCCACACCGAUAUGGAUUUACUUUGAUGGAGAAUGAGUAACGCGUGGUGUUGCGCGUCGCAAAUCGCCGUAAGGACUGACCAGUUCAGUAGGUCGCUCAAGAGCCAUUAUCAGCGCUUAUCAAUCGCGACCCCUGACCAACCGGCUAAUAAACCGGCUCCUCCUUCUCGGAGUUAUCAUCGAAAAUCUUGAUGGGAGAAGUAACCUUAAUCACAUAAAUACCCGUUUCCUCCCGAAUUUAUUUAUUACUCUCGCAACAACAUUAUUAUUUUUAUUAUUUAAUAACUUAUUAUUAUCUCUCACCAUUAAUUAUUAUUAUUGUUGUCAACACUAAAUACUAUAUUCUCUUAAAUGGAAUCAGAGUAUUGUCACAGAAAAGCUGAUUAAAUUUAAUUAGAAUGAAAGAAAACGCGAAACGUUCCUGUUUGCGGUAUAAUAUGUGCAAAUACGUCAAAUAUAAAUGUCUUAUAACUUAGACAGCUAGAGGCUAGAGGUAGAUAGGAAGGGGAAGGGACAUCUUUGUGUAUGAGGAAAUAUGACGUGCGAGCGAGUUCCCAUGUAUUUACGUAUAAUCGCGACUACCUUGCGUAAUUCGGUCUCGUCCGUCGUUAUUUUCCGCGAGAACAUCAGCCACGACCUCGAUCGCGCGAAUUGCGUGGCUUUCGCAGGAAUUAACAUGGUCGGAAUUCCUCGCAAGCGAAGAAUCUCGCGUAUAACUGGAAAGGUGCGAAUGUAUCGUCGAUUACGAUCGUCGCCUGAUUAAAAUCGUCUGGCCAUUUUGACCAAUUCUUAUCGACUUUUAUCAUGCGAUAACGCGGAUGCGUUCAAGUGAGUCGCGCGAAAAAAAAAAGAAAUAAGUAAACCAACGGUAAUUAUAAUGAAUGUUUUCAAACGUACACUUGUGCAUAUGAAAGGUGCAUGAAUCGAGAUAAAAAUGUAUCUGCAACGGAAUAACUUUAACUUUUCCCGAAUGUAAUAAAUGAAUCGUAGAGAGAGGCGAAAUUAAAUGUCUGUUACGCGACGAACUGGAACUGACAAAAAAUUUUACCGUCCGUAAUUGCUGUAAACGCGAUUUAUUUUAACACUUUAUAGAAUAGUAAUCGAAAGGAAUGUUAAAACGGAUG